GACGAACGCUGGCGGCGUGCUUAACACAUGCAAGUCGAGCGGUAAGGCCCUUUCGGGGUACGACGAGCGGCGAACGGGUGAGUAACACGUGGGUGACCUGCCUUUAGCUCUGGGAUAAGCCUGGGAAACUGGGUCUAAUACCGGAUAUGACUCCAUGAUGCAUGUUGUGGGGUGGAAAGCCUUGUGCGGCUGGAGAUGGGCCCGCGGCCUAUCAGCUUGUUGGUGGGGUGAGGCCUACCAAGGCGACGACGGGUAGCCGGCCUGAGAGGGCGACCGGCCACACUGGGACUGAGACACGGCCCAGACUCCUACGGGAGGCAGCAGUGGGGAAUCUUGCGCAAUGGGCGAAAGCCUGACGCAGCGACGCCGCGUGAGGGAU
rnacentral:rRNA from 1 species